AUUGAACGCUGGCGGCAGGCCUAACACAUGCAAGUCGAACGGUAGCACAGAGAGCUUGCUCUCGGGUGACGAGUGGCGGACGGGUGAGUAACGUCUGGGAAACUGCCCGAUGGAGGGGGAUAACUACUGGAAACGGUAGCUAAUACCGCAUAACGUCGCAAGACCAAAGUGGGGGACCUUCGGGCCUCACACCAUCGGAUGUGCCCAGAUGGGAUUAGCUAGUAGGUGGGGUAAUGGCUCACCUAGGCGACGAUCCCUAGCUGGUCUGAGAGGAGUACCAGCCACAAUGGAACUGGGGCACGGUCCAGACUCCUACGGGAGGCAGCAGUGGGGAAUAUUGCACAAUGGGCGCAAGCCUGAUGCAGCCAUGCCGCGUGUAUGAAGAAGGCCUUCGGGUUGUAAAGUACUUUCAGCGGGGAGGAAGGCGGUGAAGUUAAUAACUUCACCGAUUGACGUUACCCGCAGAAGAAGCACCGGCUAACUCCGUGCCAGCCGCCGCAGUAA
rnacentral:rRNA from 1 species